GGACCCUCUAUCUGCUUGUAAACUGACAAGUGGAUGGAGAGUGGGACUGGAUCAGGGGCUCACGGACAGACGUGUCCUGGUUUUCUCUGUGGUGUCCGAGGGUUUUUGGAGUUUCCAGCUGAUAAGUUAGUCCUGGACUCCGCUCCUCCUCCUCCUACAUGCUCCAGUCCCAGUCCAUUAAGAAGAGUAUGCCAUGGGUGACGCUGCUGCUGAAAUCUGACCAGGCAGCAACAGAGAGAUACCAAAAAAAUUAAACAUCCACUGAUGCUCCACAAAACGAAAUGCGAUCCAGUCCAGUAAGAAGACCACCGGUGUGCCCUGGUGCUGCUGAAAUCUGACCAGGCAGCAAAAGGGAGAUGAGAAACCAAGAAUUAAAGGCCCACUGCCGGUGCACAGAAGGAAAUGUGCUCCAGUCCAGUAAAAGUCAGAUAAAGAGACACUGGCUCUCCCUCCAGAUGCCCAGAGAAAGAAAUGCCAGGAAAAAAAAGAGGACAUUGUUGAAGCCAUGGCUCAUGUGACCAGCCUGACUGAAACCUUCGACAGCUCCACAGACACAGCUGGAGUAGUUCGGUUAAGGUUGUCAAAGAGUAUGGGCCACAAUGACUGACAUAAACACAGCGAUGAGAAAAUCAAAUCAAGCUGGACUUCCACAAGAUCAGCAUAAAGAUAAGAUAAAAUGUUCCUCAUCAUACGUCACUCCAGCCAGACAAGAAGGAAAGCAGUUUGAAGUACGCUGAGUAGAGAGGACAAUGCACAGUCCAGAAUUACCACUGGACUAAGUUCUGCCCGCAUGAUGCAGGCCAGCAGCUGAACAGCAAGACCAGACCGAAUCAUGUAGGACUCUCCUAGUCCGCAUGACCAUCACCUUAGGACUACAGAGGUCUGAAACAAGAUGCGAUGAGACCCUCAAAGUUCUGAGUUUGAUUAGUCCAGAAACUGCUGCUGGAGUAAGGAAGAGUUGUAUUUCACAUCAUGCAAGACAGACAGCACGACAGAGCAUGCUUAACAUAAAAGAUCAACACCAAAACAACUGUCAAAAGAAAAUGAUUGGUGCUGUAUCAAGCCAUCCUGGUACGAAGAAACGGACAGUACAGAGGAAGGGGGCAAAAGGCAAAAGUGGACAUUGGAAAAGAGAUGUUGCACAAUUUCUAAAACAGACUGGCAAGAAAAAAAAGAAAAUAAAUGGACUGAGCUGAAGAGGGAGGGACGGAGCCUAGUGACAGGAUCCAGCCAAAAACACACUGGAGGCUGUACGGAAGAACCAAGCUGCUAGCGCAUCGGACAACAAGAUUAACCAGCACGCCAUCCGCUGGUUCAACCUGGCCUCUGACCAUGGAGGUGGCCGCAAAGAACGUGCCAUGGCCAGUGAGGCAUUAACCGUGGUAAAUUUUAGAUAAAUCACCGUGCUAGUG